rnacentral:tRNA from 1 species
GCCUGAGUGGCUCAGUCGGUUAAGUGUCUGACUUCGGCUCAGGUCAUGAUCUCUGGUUCGUGGGUUCAAGCCCCAUGUCGGGCU